GACGAACGCUGGCGGCGUGCCUAACACAUGCAAGUCGAGCGGGGUUGAGGCGAGAGGUAACUCGAACUUCUACCUAGCGGCGGACGGGUGAGUAACGCGUGGGCAACCUGCCUCAAGGUUUGGGAUAACAGCCCGAAAGGGCUGCUAAUACCGGAUAUGCCUAUGGCCUCGCAUGGGGCUAUGAGCAAAGGGGAAACCCGCCUUGAGAUGGGCCCGCGUCCCAUCAGCUAGUUGGUGAGGUAACAGCUCACCAAGGCGACGACGGGUAGCCGGCCUGAGAGGGUGACCGGCCACACUGGGACUGAGACACGGCCCAGACUCCUACGGGGGCAGCAGUGGGGGAUCUUGCACAAUGGGCGAAAGCCUGAUGCAGCGACGCCGCGUGAGCGAAGAAGGCCUUCGGGUUGUAAAGCUCUGUCUGGAGGGACGGAACAAAUAGACGGUACCUCCGGAGGAAGCCAACGGCGUAACUACGUG
rnacentral:rRNA from 1 species